rnacentral:rRNA from 1 species
CGAUGACCACUUCGGUGGGGAUUAGUGGCGAACGGGUGAGUAACACGUGGGCAAUCUGCCCUUCACUCUGGGACAAGCCCUGGAAACGGGGUCUAAUACCGGAUAACACUUCCACUCGCAUGGGUGGAGGUUAAAAGCUCCGGCGGUGAAGGAUGAGCCCGCGGCCUAUCAGCUUGUUGGUGAGGUAAUGGCUCACCAAGGCGACGACGGGUAGCCGGCCUGAGAGGGCGACCGGCCACACUGGGACUGAGACACGGCCCAGACUCCUACGGGAGGCAGCAGUGGGGAAUAUUGCACAAUGGGCGAAAGCCUGAUGCAGCGACGCCGCGUGAGGGAUGACGGCCUUCGGGUUGUAAACCUCUUUCAGCAGGGAAGAAGCGAAAGUGACGGUACCUGCAGAAGAAGCGCCGGCUAACUACGUGCCAGCAGCCGCGGUAAUACGUAGGGCGCAAGCGUUGUCCGGAAUUAUUGGGCGUAAAGAGCUCGUAGGCGGUCUGUCGCGUCGGAUGUGAAAGCCCGGGGCUUAACCCCGGGUCUGCAUUCGAUACGGGCAGACUAGAGUGUG